rfam:Faecalibacterium sp. CAG:82-related_59_9 Ley3_66761_scaffold_4875, whole genome shotgun sequence.
UGAAAACUUUGGCAAACCUGGCGUGAGCCGGGGACGCAAAGCUUGGAGUCUUUUGUGCUGGCAUUCCCCGGAGGGAAACGCCAGAAAACCAGAAGAUAGUUCGGCUGCAUUC